rnacentral:rRNA from 1 species
UGGGGAAUAUUGGACAAUGGGCGCAAGCCUGAUCCAGCAAUGCCGCGUGAGUGAUGAAGGCCUUAGGGUUGUAAAGCUCUUUCGCACGCGACGAUGAUGACGGUAGCGUGAGAAGAAGCCCCGGCUAACUUCGUGCCAGCAGCCGCGGUAAUACGAAGGGGGCUAGCGUUGUUCGGAAUUACUGGGCGUAAAGGGCGCGUAGGUGGCCUGUUUAGUCAGAAGUGAAAGCCCCGGGCUCAACCUGGGAAUAGCUUUUGAUACUGGCAGGCUUGAGUUCCGGAGAGGAUGGUGGAAUUCCCAGUGUAGAGGUGAAAUUCGUAGAUAUUGGGAAGAACACCGGUGGCGAAGGCGGCCAUCUGGACGGACACUGACGCUGAGGCGCGAAAGCGUGGGGAGCAAACAGAUUAGAUACCCUGGUAGUCCACGCCGUAAAACGAUGAAUGCUAGACGUCGGGGUGCAUGCACUUCGGUGUCGCCGCUAACGCAUUAAGCAUCCCGCCUGGGGAGUACGGCCGCAAGGUUAAAACUUAAAUGAAUUGACGGGGUCAUAGCUGUUUCCU